UACGGGGGGGGCAAGCGUUGUUCGGAAUUACUGGGCGUAAAGGGCUCGUAGGCGGCCAACUAAGUCGGAUGUGAAAUCCCCAGGCUUAACCUGGGAACUGCAUCCGAUACUGGAUGGCUUGAAUCCGGGAGAGGGAUGCAGAAUUCCAGGUGUAGCGGUGAGAUGCGUAGAUAUCUGGAGGAACACCGGUGGCGAAGGCGGCAUCCUGGACCGGUAUUGACGCUGAGGCGCGAAAGCCAGGGGAGCAAACGGG
rnacentral:rRNA from 1 species